CCUACGGGAGGCAGCAGUGAGGAAUAUUGGUCAAUGGGCGCAAGCCUGAACCAGCCAAGUCGCGUGAGGGAUGACGGUCCUAUGGAUUGUACACCUCUUUUGUCGGGGAGCAAGGCCCGCCACGUGUGGCGGGAAGGAGAGUACCCGAAGAAAAAGCAUCGGCUAACUCCGUGACAGCAGCCGCGGUAAUACGGAGGAUGCGAGCGUUAUCCGGAUUUAUUGGGUUUAAAGGGUGCGUAGGCGGAAGGUUAAGUCAGCGGUCAAAUGUCGGUGCUCAACACCGGCCUGCCGUUGAAACUGGUCUUCUUGAGUGAGCGAGAAGUAUGCGGAAUGCGUGGUGUAGCGGUGAAAUGCAUAGAUAUCACGCAGAACUCCGAUUGCGAAGGCAGCAUACCGGCGCUCAACUGACGCUGAGGCACGAAAGCGUGGGGAUCGAACAGGAUUAGAUACCCUUGUAGUC
rnacentral:rRNA from 1 species